UUACGGCCAAAUCACGUUGAAACAUCGGUUCCCGUACGAUCACCGAAGUUAAGCAACGUCGAGCCUGUUCAGUACCUAGGUGGCUGCCUGCUUGGGAACACCAGGUGCUGUAAG
rnacentral:rRNA from 1 species